GCCGCCGUAGCACAAAGGUAGUGCGUUGCCUUCCUAUUAUUCUUGAUGGGGCUCGAACCCACCACGAUUACGUAAUGAGGCAAAGGUUGUGGGUUCGAGCCCCAUCGGCGGUU